rnacentral:rRNA from 1 species
CAAGUCGUGUGGGUUUAGACCCACGGCAAACGGCUGCGUAACACGUUGGAACCUUCCCCGAACUCAGGGAUAUCCCUCCGAAAGGAGGAGUAAUACCGGAUGGUCCCGCAAGGGUAAAGAUUUAUCGGUUCGGGAGGGGCCUGCGGCCUAUCAGCUAGUUGGUGAGGUAAUGGCUCACCAAGGCAAUGACGGGUAGCUGGUCUGAGAGGACGACCAGCCAGAAUGGAACUGCGACACGGUCCAUACUCCUACGGGAGGCAGCAGUGAGGAAUCUUCCGCAAUGGACGAAAGUCUGACGGAGCGACGCCGCGUGGUGGAUGAAGGCCUUAACUGGUCGUAAACACCUGUUCUGAGGGACGAAAUUUUUGACGGUACCUCAGGAGAAAGUAUCGGCAAACCCUGUGCCAGCAGCCGCGGUAAUACAGGGGAUACAAGCGUUACUCGGAAUCACUGGGCGUAAAGCGUCUGUAGGUUCUUUAGUAAGUCUGCGGUAAAAGUCCGGGGCUCAACCCCGGGAGCGUCGUGGAAACUACUAGAGUUGAGCAGUAGAGAGGCAUCUGGAAUGCCGCAUGUAGGAGUAAAAUCCGUAGAUAUGCGGUAGAACGCCAAAAGCGAAGGCAGGAUGCUAGCUACUUGCUGACACUGAGAGACGAAAGCGUGGGGAGCGAAGGGGAUUAGAUACCCCCGUAGUCCACGCCCUAAACGAUGCGAGCUCGAUGUGGGAGGUUCUCAAUUGCCUUCCGUGUCCAAGCUAACGCGGUAAGCUCGCCGCCUGGGAAGUACGGUCGCAAGACUAAGACUCAAAGGAAUAGACGGGGACCCACACCAGCGGUGGAGCAUGGGGUUUAAUUCGAUAGUAAGCGAAGAACCUCACCUAGGCUUGACAUCU